UGGGGAAUAUUGCACAAUGGGCGCAAGCCUGAUGCAGCCAUGCCGCGUGUGUGAAGAAGGCCUUCGGGUUGUAAAGCACUUUCAGCGGGGAGGAAGGCGAUAAGGUUAAUAACCUCAUCGAUUGACGUUACCCGCAGAAGAAGCACCGGCUAACUCCGUGCCAGCAGCCGCGGUAAUACGGAGGGUGCAAGCGUUAAUCGGAAUUACUGGGCGUAAAGCGCACGCAGGCGGUCUGUCAAGUCGGAUGUGAAAUCCCCGGGCUCAACCUGGGAACUGCAUUCGAAACUGGCAGGCUAGAGUCUUGUAGAGGGGGGUAGAAUUCCAGGUGUAGAGGUGAAAUGCGUAGAGAUCUGGAGGAAUACCGGUGGCGAAGGCGGCCCCCUGGACGAAGACUGACGCUCAGGUGCGAAAGCGUGGGGAGCAAACAGG
rnacentral:rRNA from 1 species